UUAAGUUCAGCGGGUAGUCUUACUUGAUUUGAGAUCGAGUUUACAAAGCCGUUUUACCGGCCAUGUGUAAUUCUGCAUCAGUCAGUCAAGAGCUCUUCCUUUGGUGUAAGCUUCAGCAGAUUAAUAAUCCUUUUUACGGGACUAAUUAAGUAUGCUAUUAGCUCAGAAGAAAACUCAGCUGCACCUGCAUUUCAAGCAAC
rnacentral:misc_RNA from 1 species